GAAAGCCGUAUACAUCGAGAGGUGUACGUACGGUUUGGAGGCGAGUAACCUGAAACCUGUUAUGGUGACAUAAUAAGGCGCGGGGUGCUUAGCCUAC
rnacentral:ncRNA from 1 species